rnacentral:rRNA from 1 species
AGAGUUUGAUCCUGGCUCAGAUUGAACGCUGGCGACGUGCUUAACACAUGCAAGUCGUGCGAGAAAGUAGACUUCGGUCUAUGAGUAGAGCGGCGCACGGGUGAGUAACGCGUGGAUGAUCUACCCUUGAGUUCGGGAUAACGGUGCGAAAGCGCCGCUAAUACCGUAUAACAAUCCAUUUCAUCGUGGGUUCAAAGCAGGCCUCUUCGUGAAAGCUUGCGCUUGGGGAUGAGUCCGCGUCCCAUUAGCUUGUUGGCGGGGUAACGGCCCACCAAGGCUACGAUGGGUAGCUGGUCUGAGAGGAUGAUCAGCCACACUGGAACUGAAACACGGUCCAGACUCCUACGGGAGGCAGCAGUGGGGAAUAUUGCGCAAUGGGGGAAACCCUGACGCAGCGACGUCGUGUGAGGGAAGAAGGCCUUCGGG